rnacentral:rRNA from 1 species
AUUGAACGCUGGCGGCAUGCCUUACACAUGCAAGUCGAACGGUAACGGGUCCUUCGGGAUGCCGACGAGUGGCGAACGGGUGAGUAAUAUAUCGGAACGUGCCCAGUAGUGGGGGAUAACUGCUCGAAAGAGCAGCUAAAACCGCAUACGACCUGAGGGUGAAAGGGGGGGAUCGCAAGACCUCUCGCUAUUGGAGCGGCCGAUAUGAGAUUAGCUAGUUGGUGGGGUAAAGGCCUACCAAGGCAACGAACUGUUGUUGGUAUGAGAGGACGUCCAGCCACACUGGGACUGAGACACGGCCCAGACUCCUACGGGAGGCAGCAGUGGGGAAUUUUGGACAAUGGGCGCAAGCCUGAUCCAGCAAUGCCGCGUGCAGGAAGAAGGCCUUCGGGUUGUAAACUGCUUUUGUCAGGGAAGAAAUCUUCUGGGCUAAUACCCCGGGAGGAUGACGGUACCUGAAGAAUAAGCACCGGCUAACUACGUGCCAGCAGCCGCGGUAA